ACGUAUGUCACGAGCGUUAUCCGGAUUUAUUGGGCGUAAAGCGCGUCUAGGUGGUUAUGUAAGUCUGAUGUGAAAAUGCAGGGCUCAACUCUGUAUUGCGUUGGAAACUGUGUAACUAGAGUACUGGAGAGGUAAGCGGAACUACAAGUGUAGAGGUGAAAUUCGUAGAUAUUUGUAGGAAUGCCGAUGGGGAAGCCAGCUUACUGGACAGAUACUGACGCUGAAGCGCGAAAGCGUGGGUAGCAAACAGG
rnacentral:rRNA from 1 species